AAGACUUCAGAAGACUUCCUGACGACUUCGUGGGAAGCCUUAUUGCAUAAAAUGCAUUAGAAGAUUUUCCAAGAAGCCUUCCGAGAGUCUUCCAAGAGUCUUCUGAGAAGUUUUCCAAAGUCUGACUCAGAUAUGAAAAAUCUGCAUAUUCAAAAACAUUCAAAUGGCUUCAAAAUAGAGAAAACUUAAAAAAUAAAUUUUUUAUGCUUAAAUAAUAAACAAAACAAUCAAAU
rnacentral:lncRNA from 1 species